rfam:Triticum aestivum genome assembly, contig: Triticum_aestivum_CS42_TGACv1_scaffold_502708_6BL
GAUGUACUCCCUCCGUCCCAAAAUUCUUGUCUUAGAUUUGUCUAUAUACGGAUGUAUCUAUUCAUGUUUUAGUGUUAGAUACAUCCGUAUCUAGAUAAAUUUAAGACAAGAAUUUUGGGAUGGAGGUAAUAGUAA